rnacentral:rRNA from 1 species
GACGAACGCUGGCGGCGUGCUUAACACAUGCAAGUCGAACGGAAAGGCCCUGCUUUUGUGGGGUGCUCGAGUGGCGAACGGGUGAGUAACACGUGAGUAACCUGCCCUUGACUUUGGGAUAACUUCAGGAAACGGGGGCUAAUACCGGAUAGGAGCUCCUGCUGCAUGGUGGGGGUUGGAAAGUUUCGGCGGUUGGGGAUGGACUCGCGGCUUAUCAGCUUGUUGGUGGGGUAGUGGCUUACCAAGGCUUUGACGGGUAGCCGGCCUGAGAGGGUGACCGGGCACAUUGGGCCUGAGAUACGGCCCAGACUCCUACGGGAGGCAGCAGUGGGGAAUCUUGCACAAUGGGCGGAAGCCUGAUGCAGCAACGCCGCGUGCGGGAUGACGGCCUUCGGGUUGUAAACCGCUUUCGCCUGUGACGAAGCGUGAGUGACGGUAAUGGGUAAAGAAGCACCGGCUAACUACGUG